GACCUGGCUCAGGAUGAACGCUAGCUACAGGCUUAACACAUGCAAGUCGAGGGGCAGCGGGAAGUCAGCUUGCUGGCUUUGCCGGCGACCGGCGCACGGGUGAGUAACACGUAUCCAACCUUCCCGUUACUCUGGAAUAGCCUUUCGAAAGAAAGAUUAAUACCGGAUAGUAUCGAGAGAUUGCAUGAUUACCCGAUUAAAGAUUCAUCGGUAACGGAUGGGGAUGCGUUCCAUUAGGCAGUUGG
rnacentral:rRNA from 1 species